AGAAGGAGAAGGAGAAGAAGAAGAAGAACAACAACAACAAGAACCGCAAGAACAAGGAGAAGGAGGAGGAGAAGGAGGAGGCCUAGUCAAGAUGAAAUAUAAUCCAAAAGGGAAAAGGAAUCGCAUACGAAGACGAUGCCCGAUAUGUCGAGAAGAAACAUCAGAUAUGUCAAAGCACCUUGAACGGAAACACAGACUAAAUGGAGAGGAACGGUGGAAGUAUAUUUAUCAAGCAAGAUCCAGUGUCCUUAUUCAACGCUUAGGAAAAAAAGAAGAGAGGAAAAGGCUGACUGCCCCAAGUGUCCCGCUAAAAACCUGUCUAAUUUGUGGGACCACAACAAAAGGAAACAUUCGGGAGAGAAAGAAAUACUGGUACAUGUACAAAGUGGUAAGACUUGAUUAUCUGACUGUAAAGUAGAUUUUUGAUGUUCUUGCAUGAGAUACAUACAAACAAAGUGGUAAGACUUGAUUGUCUGACUGUAAAGUGGAUUUUUGAUGUUUGUGCAUGACAAUAUAAAAACAAAAAUUUAUCUAAAUCUUUUUUACCAAAAUAAAGAGAUUUUUACAGCCAAGAUAAGAGAAUAUGAUUGUUUUUUUCUUCUAAUGACUUAAAUAAAUAAAGUAAACUGAAUUCCUGUUGAAUACAGUUAAAGAUUGUUUGGUAUUUAGUAAAGCAAAGCGCAUGUCAUGCCAUUAUUUCAAUUAUGGUAUUUGUGUACAGAAAUUCAGAAGUCUCUACAAAUUGUCUCAUGUAGUACAUGUAUUGUAAGUGGUGAAUAAUAGAAUCUAUUUGAAUUAUACUUUUUUACAAUAUUCUUAUAAAUUUAAUUACAACUGUAGCUGGAAAGCAAAUAUGUUUUUCAGCUUAUGUUGAAAGCUACAAUUGGAUUAUAUUUGUAGCUUUUCCUUGAUGAAUUAACCUUUAAUUUCGUAUUUAGCUUUAUUUGCCUUCAAUAGAACAACAGGAAGAAGAACUGGACAUUCUUCAAAAGUAUGGGCAGUAUGUGCAAUUCUGCUCGGCUGGCCACCACAUAUCAAAUGUUAAACGAGUUGAACAGCUACUUGGAAGAGUAGGAGGGAUGAAACAACUCUUCGUUGACAAGGGAUCAAUGUAAUCAAGAAACAUUGAUAGCCGUUGAGAACUUGAAAGGUUUUCACAGACAGUUGAUGGCACAAGCAGAAGUAACAUCAGAAAUUCGGCAGAAAGGAGUACCGAUCAGCCCCACUGAAUUAGAAGAUUAUAGGAAUCUGUACUAUUAGCCCUGAUCAACACCGCAUCAAGGAGUGAUGUCUUAACCAACCUAACAGUGGGCCACAUGAAGAGUGCACCGACUGGCUUACAUGUAAUUUAAGUGCCUGAACACAAGACUUGCACCUCAUAUGGCAGGGCAGAAGUCAUCCUUGACCCCUACGAGUAUGAGCUAUUUGACUCGUACUUAAAGUUUGUCCGACCAGUGUACGAACAUGCAGAAGAAGAUGGUGAUGGUGAUGAUCAACGGCCCUUCUCCAUCCAGACCACUGGUGCUCCAUUGAAAAAAACGUCUCCGGAACUUCAGAAAAGCUGGGUGAGGUGGGGGUAUAAUAGCACCAUCAGUAAAAGAGCAAUCAGGAAGACGGUGGCAACAAUUGUAAUUAAUUUUUUUGAAAAAUAUAGAUUUGUUAUGCCUCCGUCUGGAGGCAUUAUGUUUUCGGGUUGUCCGUCCAUCCAUCAGUCCCGUUUUCAUUCUCGUUCUCGCGAUAACUUAAAAAAGAUUUGACGGAUCAACUGCAAAUUUUGAUCAUGUAUGCAUAUGGGAGGGACAAUUUUUUCAUACAGUGUUACGUAAGUUCAUGUAACCCAUCAGGUUUACUAAUCAGCCUCUUUGUAAUUAUGUGUAUAACUGUGAACACAUAGGUUUGUAUGAACCAUCUUGAUCUAUUCCUCGUUGACUCAUUUUUUGUCUCUUCACUUAUGAUCUUUAACUAGUCCUUCUGGUUGAGGUUACACAAAGCCAGAUCAAGAGAAGUCUACAUUUAUGCAUCUUGGUGACUUCUGAAAUAUUUAGACUUUUUGAUAAGGCUUUCACUUUCUAUUGAAGGCACCACUUUCAUGAAGAAGAAUGCAGAGUAGAGGUUACUUUAAACUGUCUAGUUUCAAUUGUAUGUUUACUUGCUUUUCCAUGUAUCACAGACUAUCAUUUGUACCACAGCUGUAAUAAAGGCAUAUACAUUUAAAUGUACAUUCAGUGAUUGCAUCAAUUUUUGCUCUAAACCGCAAAAAUCUUUAAUAAAAACCAAGUUUUCUUUUCCUUGAACAGCAAAA